rnacentral:rRNA from 1 species
UAGUUUAUUUGAUAAUCAAAUUUACAUGGAUAACCGUGGUAAUUCUAGAGCUAAUACAUGCUGUUAAGCCUGACUUUGAGGAAGGGCUGUAUUUAUUAGAUAACAAAUCAAUAUUCCUUGUGUCUAUUGUGAUGAUUCAUAAUAACUGAUCGAAUCGCAUGGGCUUUGCUCGCGAUACAUCAUUCAAGUUUCUGCCCCAUCAGCUUUCGAUGGUAGUGUAUUGGACUACCAUGGCUUUCACGGGUAACGGAGGAUUAGGGUUCGAUUCCGGAGAGGGAGCCUGAGAAACGGCUACCACAUCUAAGGAAGGCAGCAGGCGCGUAAAUUACCCAAUCCUGACUCAGGGAGGUAGUGACAAGAAAUAACGGACCGAAGCCUAUGUUUCGGGAUUGCAAUGAGUAGAAUUUAAACCCCUUUACGAGGAUCAAUUGGAGGGCAAGUCUGGUGCCAGCAGCCGCGGUAAUUCCAGCUCCAAUAGCAUAUAUUAAAGUUGUUGCAGUUAAAAAGCUCGUAGUUGGAUUUCUGGGAGAGCGCCAAUGUCGUCUUGUUGACUGUGCAGCGGCGCUCUUCCAUCCUUCUGUUAACUUUUCGGGUAUUCAUUUACUCGUCUAGGGCUCAGAUAUUUUACCUUGAGAAAAUUAGAGUGUUCCAGGCAGGCUCGCGCCGGAAUACAUUAGCAUGGAAUAAUAGAAUAGGACUUUAGUCUCCUUUGUUGGUUUGAGGGACUGAAGUAAUGAUUAAUAGGGAUAGUUGGGGGCAUUAGUAUUUAAUUGUCAGAGGUGAAAUUCUCAGAUUUGUUAAAGACUAACUUAUGCGAAAGCAUUUGCCAAGGAUGUUUUCAUUAAUCAAGAACGAAAGUUAGGGGAUCAAAGACGAUCAGAUACCGUCCUAGUCUUAACCAUAAACUAUGCCGACUAGGGAUCGGAGGCGCGCUUUAUCCGCCUUCGGCACCUUAUGAGAAAUCAAAGUCUUUGGGUUCUGGGGGGAGUAUGGUCGCAAGGCUGAAACUUAAAGGAAUUGACGGAAGGGCACCACCAGGAGUGGAGCUUGCGGCUCAAUUUGACUCAACACGGGAAAACUUACCAGGUCCAGACAUAGUGAGGA